rnacentral:rRNA from 1 species
AAAUUCCUUGUCGGGUAAGUUCCGACCCGCACGAAAGGCGUAACGAUCUGGGCACUGUCUCAACGAGAGACUCGGUGAAAUUAUAGUACCUGUGAAGAUGCAGGUUACCCGCGACAGGACGGAAAGACCCCGUGGAGCUUUACUGUAGCCUGAUAUUGAAUUUUGGUACAGCUUGUACAGGAUAGGUAGGAGCCUGAGAAGCCGGAGCGCUAGCUUCGGUGGAGGCGUCGGUGGGAUACUACCCUGGCUGUAUUGAAAUUCUAACCCGCGGCCCUUAUCGGGCCGGGAGACAGUGUCAGGUGGGCAGUUUGACUGGGGCGGUCGCCUCCUAAAAUGUAACGGAGGCGCCCAAAGGUUCCCUCAGAAUGGUUGGAAAUCAUUCGUAGAGUGUAAAGGCACAAGGGAGCUUGACUGCGAGACCUACAAGUCGAGCAGGGACGAAAGUCGGGCUUAGUGAUCCGGUGGUUCCGCAUGGAAGGGCCAUCGCUCAACGGAUAAAAGCU